rnacentral:rRNA from 1 species
UACGGAGGGUGCGAGCGUUGUCCGGAAUCACUGGGCGUAAGGCGCGUAGGCGGCCUGAUAAGUAGGGGGUGAAAUCCUGCGGCUUAACCGCAGGGCUGCCUUCUAAACUGUCAGGCUCGAGCACAGUAGAGGCAGGUGGAAUUCCCGGUGUAGCGGUGGAAUGCGUAGAGAUCGGGAAGAACAUCAGUGGCGAAGGCGGCCUGCGUGGGCUGUUGCUGACGCUGAGGCGCGACAGCGGUGGGGAGCAAACAGG